CCCUUAGAUGUCCUGGGCCGCACGCGCGCUACAAUGAUGCAACCAACGAGUGCUGCUCCUUGGCCGAGAGGCCCGGGGAACCUUGCAAACUGCAUCGUGCUGGGGAUAGAUGAUUGCAAUUCUUCAUCUUGAACGAGGAAUGCCUUGUAAGCGUGAGUCAUCAACUCGCGCUGAAUGCGUCCCUGCCCUUUGUACACACCGCCCGUCGCUCCUACCGAUUGAGUGGUCCGGUGAGGCUUUGGGAUCUGAGCGGAAAGAGCGUUUCGCUGUUUCUGCUCGGAAAACUCAGUCGAACCUUAUCAUUUAGAGGAAGGAGAAGUCGUAACA
rnacentral:rRNA from 1 species